rnacentral:rRNA from 1 species
CCCUACGGGGGGCAGCAGUAGGGAAUCUUCCACAAUGGACGAAAGUCUGAUGGAGCAACGCCGCGUGAGUGAAGAAGGGCUUCGGCUCGUAAAGCCCUGUUGGUAGUGAAGAAAGAUAGAGGGAGUAACUGGCCAUUAUUUGACGGUAAUUAAUUAGAAAGUCACGGCUAACUACGUGCCAGCAGCCGCGGUAAUACGUAGGUGGCAAGCGUUGUCCGGAUUUAUUGGGCGUAAAGCGAGUGCAGGCGGUCUAAUAAGUCUGGUGUGAAAGCCUUCGG